AGCGAUUCAGUUUCUUCGUGUACGCCGUCAGUGCUGGUUGUGUUUAGCGGAUGGAAGAAAGCGUCUGCUGCCUCUUAUGGACUAAGCUGAAAACAAAAAUAAAUUUUGCACGUUAAAACUGUUGGAAAUAUAUUUAACUUUAUUACAAGAACAACGAAAAGCUGAACACUGCGAAUUUUUGGGUGUAUCCAAAACCAACCACAGUGCAACAAAAGCAAAAUCCAUGCUAUCAAACAUAAAUAUAUAUCAACAAAACUAAAGUGUGAAAUAAGGAAAAAAAACUACACAAAAUAACAACAACGACAAUCAAAUAACUUCAAAAUAAUCCAGCAUAAAAAGUAUCAGAAUCUUCUUCAUCUAAAA